AGAGUUUGAUCCUGGCUCAGGACGAACGCUGGCGGCGUGCCUCAAACAUGCAAGUCGAGCGUGGAUACGUUGCCUCGCAAGAGGCGACGUGUUCUAGCGGCGAACGGGUGCGUAACACGUGGGGAACCAACCCUCCAGAUGGGGACAACCUCGGGAAACCGGGGCUAAUACCGAAUACGCUCCUCGGGUCGCAUGGCCUGAAGAGGAAAGGAUCGCAAGAUCGCUGGAGGACGGUCCCGCGGCCUAUCAGCUUGUUGGUGAGGUAACGGCCCACCAAGGCGAUGACGGGUAGCUGGCCUGAGAGGGUGGUCAGCCACACUGGAACUGAGACACGGUCCAGACUCCUACGGGAGGCAGCAGUUGGGAAUCUUGGGCAAUGGGCGCAAGCCUGACCCAGCGACGCCGCGUGGGGGAUGAAGGCCUUCGGGUUGUAAACCCCUGUCAGGAGGGACGAAGCCGCAAGGUGACGGUACCUCCAGAGGAAGCCCCGGCUAACUACGUGCCAGCAGCCGCGGUAAGACGUAGGGGGCGAGCGUUGUCCGGAAUUACUGGGCGUAAAGCGCGUGCAGGCGGCUCGGUAAGUCCCGUGUG
rnacentral:rRNA from 1 species